UAUGGCCAAACCGCCCUGAACAUACCUGAUCUUGUCUGAUCUCCGGAGCUAAGGAGGGUCGGCCCUGGUUAGUGCUUGGAAGGGAGAAUACAAUAC
rnacentral:rRNA from 1 species